CUUCUCGCCUCUUUCCAUUCUCUGGCGAUCCCUGAGCGUAAAUGCAGUGCAGCACACAAAGAGCGGCGGCGGAGGAAUUGAGCUUGCCGCCAAGACAGCUGCCAAUUGCAUGGCUCCAAAACAACAGCUGAGACCUCCUUCACACGAAAGAAAGCUCACGAGACGCCCCUGGUUCUAGCCUUGUUUGGAAUAAAUGCAACCCUCAUCAAAGGCUGAGUCAAGACCCUAUGGAAAAAAGCACUUCAACAAUCCAAUGAACAAGUUCAACUUCGCGUCCAAUCCGACUGACAAUGAGGAAAAAGAGUGUUUCAGAGGUCCAAUGAAAUAUUUAUCACGGGACUCGAUCCGAGUCCGCUCUUUGUGAAAACCCUCGCCAAUCGGAAUAAUAAAAUGAAUCAUAGCCCAAUCUGGAGAUCCGAUCCCGGGAAAGAACGGCGACGACGACGACGACCCCUGUUUGUUUGCUCACCCUCGAGAAGGGGCCAAAGACCAGAGAGAAGGACUUGGAAAACCUCUCGAGGGACUCACAAUUUCGGUCUCAACUGGAUCCGGCCGUGCAAUAUCUUCAAUUCAAUGCCAUGAAUGAAUGAGACAACCUACAAACGCGAUCGUGUGUGGGUCCUUGUGGAAGUUAAACAUCCUGUGUCUGCUCGCACUUGGCGGCAUAAAUCCUCGAAUUGUGACAAGUAGAAUCGAGAAGAAUGCUCUUCUUAAGCAUCUAAUCCACGAUCGAGAGACUUGAGCAGGUGAAGAUGAGUGAAUGGAAUAUACCCUGCAGGGGUUUUCAUUGGCACCAAGCAAAAACACCAUGUGCAAUGACAACCCGUCUCCGUCACGUCUUCGCGGGCUUGGCCGAUGACAACCGAAUGACAUCAUUGAGUUGUCUUUGAGGGUGAAGAUACAGGAUAUUUUGCAUACGUGAGUUAUGGCUUCAAAACGGAGGUGUUGACAAGUUUAACUCCGACCCACCUGUCAAUGUCAUCCGUUGAAUGAAGAGUGAUGAUGAGAAUUCAAACAUUCGGCUUUUUUGCACACAGUCUUGCUCUUUUUUUUGCUGGCUCACUCCACGAACGCCAAAGUUAACUCUCUCGUUCGUACUGGCGAGGCAGUCAUAAAUCUGGUAGUGUCUGACCGCCGUGUGCUGCCAAAUAAAUCUCUAAGGGGUUUGGGGGCGCGCAAGUUCCAAACUUGGAUUUUGUCGCUUGUCCUAAUUCUCUUGUGAAUCUGCCCGGAGAUUUUUCUCACAAAAUCUGUGAACUAAUGAAGACAAGUCGCUCACAUGGACCCAAGUAUGCCUUCACUCGGUUCUUGGGUAGCUGAGUGGGUGGGUUGAGUUGGAAGAGGAUGGAUGGGUGUGCGUAGUCUCCCGAAACGAGAAAAUACAGGCUUGGAAUAAUUGUACACACUGUAGUACGUACACCUCAUCCUCGUUAUCUGGCCAUAUUUUCAGCUUAUUAGCAAGCCAAUUACACAUGUCGCGUCGCAAGAAAAUGACGUGAUUUCAAUUUAGAUUGCCAUAUGGCCAAGAUCAACCACGACAUCGACCCGAUGGUAGGGUGAGAGGAGUGUAUUCAAAUUACAUGUGGAGCUCCUACCCAUCUCCCUGAAGCACGGCACAUGAAUCAACCAGUCAUCCAGUCGGCAACAUUGUAGUAGCCAUCCACUUUUACUACCUUUUGACACGGAACCAGUGCAAUUGGCCACAUCUGUCCUCAGGAAGAGAAAUGUCACUCAAUCGGGGAAUGAACCGAAUGUCCGUCUUUGGCUGAUCAAUACACAUAUCCUGGGUCGGAGAAAUCUGGUCUUGGAUGGGCAGUUGACCAACCUUUCCGGACCAUAAAUUGAAGCUGGUUAUUGUUUUACGAUGCACUGUGGCCGACCCCGGAGAACGAUCUUCUAAUCAUGUUCGAUCAGCAUUUGGAAAGCCCACCACCAACGCUCGUAAAACUUAGUCACCCAUCCAUCUCGAUGGACCACACCUGUUUUCUCGGGACUCCUAGGCGAUGAACCCUUGUUAAAUGCAAAAACAUGGCCCCGGUGUCUAUCUAUUAAAGGGACAGGCUCUAUUGUCCAUCUGUCCAGAAAUGUUCCACAAAGUGUUCAAGCCAGAAGGAACCUGAAUGAACCUGAGGAAGAUUCGAUUGCCACAAUUUUACGAUCCGUGUCGCCCCGUGGUCCCUUUAAAACUUUAUUGGCCUUGUGAAAAUCGUAAUCUUCAUGUUCCUAGUGAGUGCUUGUUUAUAAGUGAACGAUUUGUUAGUUCUCUGUCAGCCUAGAGUACAGCAAAGCAGGUACGGGUACAAAAUAAAAGGUUGUGUCCGGUCAAA